rnacentral:rRNA from 1 species
CCUACGGGAGGCAGCAGUGGGGAAUAUUGGGCAAUGGAGGCAACUCUGACCCAGCAACGCCGCGUGAAUGAUGAAGUUCUUCGGAUUGUAAAGUUCUGUGAUGGGGGAUGAACACAAUGACGGUACCCCAAUAGCACGCCACGGCUAACUACGUGCCAGCAGCCGCGGUAAUAAGUAGGUAGCAAGCGUUCUCCGUAAUGACUGGGAGUAAAGGGAGAGUCGACGGCAGUGCAAGUCUGAAGUGAACUGCCGGGGCUUAACCCCGGAACUGUUUUGGAAACUGUGCAGCUGGAGUGCAGGAGAGGUAAGUGGAAUUCCUAGUGUAGCGGUGAAAUGCGUAGAGAUUAGGAGGAACACCGGCGGCGAAGGCGGCUUACUGGACUGUAACUGACGUUGAGGCUCGAAGGCGUGGGGAGCAAACAGGAUUAGAUACCCUAGUAGUC